GACGAACGCUGGCGGCGUGCUUAACACAUGCAAGUCGAACGGAAAGGCCCUGCUUUUGUGGGGUGCUCGAGUGGCGAACGGGUGAGUAACACGUGAGUAACCUGCCCUUGACUUUGGGAUAACUUCAGGAAACUGGGGCUAAUACCGGAUAGGAGCUCCUGCUGCAUGGUGGGGGUUGGAAAGUUUCGGCGGUUGGGGAUGGACUCGCGGCUUAUCAGCUUGUUGGUGGGGUAGUGGCUUACCAAGGCUUUGACGGGUAGCCGGCCUGAGAGGGUGACCGGGGGGCGGGGGGGAGGGGCACAGGGGGGGAGGGGAUCGGCCGCAGUCGCGGGCGGGGGGCGGCGGUGGGGCAGAGGGGCUGGGGGGACGAAGCCGGAGGCGGGGGGGCGGGGGGAGGGAGGACGGCUGUGGGGUUGGAGGCCGCGGUGGCGUGUGACGAAGAGGGGGGGGCGGUGGGGGGGAAGGAAGCAGCGGAUAACUACGGGCCAGCAGCAGCGGUAAUACUCGGACGCGCACACGUAUGAAC
rnacentral:rRNA from 1 species